rnacentral:tRNA from 1 species
AUAAAGAUAAGCUAAAUAAAGCUUUUUGGUUCAUACCCAAUUUAUAGAAAAAAAUUUCUUCUUUAUA